GAGUUUGAUCCUGGCUCAGAAUCAACGCUGGCGACGCUGCCUCAGACAUGCAAGUCGAACGCGAAAGACCCCUUCGGGGGUUGAGUAGAGUGGCGCACGGGUGAGUAACACGUGAGUAAUUUACCUUCUCGGUGGGGAAUAACAACCGGAAACGGUUGCUAAUACCGCAUAAUGCAGCGGCAUCUUCGGAUGACAGUUGUUAAAGCGGGGGAUCGGAGCAAUCCGACCUCGUGCCGGGAGAGAAGCUCGCGGCAGAUUAGGUAGUUGGUAGGGUAACGGCCUACCAAGCCUGCGAUCUGUAGCCGGCCUGAGAGGGCGACCGGCCACACUGGGACUGAGACACGGCCCAGACUCCUACGGGAGGCAGCAGUGGGGAAUAUUGCGCAAUGGGCAAAAGCCUGACGCAGCGACGCCGCGUGAGGGAUGAAGGCCUUCGGGUUGUAAACCUCUUUCAGCAGGGACGAAGCGAGAGUGAUGGUACCUGCAGAAGAAGCACCGGCCAACUACGUGCCAGCAGCCGCGGUAAUACGUAGGGUGCAAGCGUUGUCCGGAAUUAUUGGGCGUAAAGAGCUCGUAGUGCGGUCCUGUUCGCGUCC
rnacentral:rRNA from 1 species